rnacentral:rRNA from 1 species
GCCUGACGGAGCGACACCGCGUGCAGGAUGAAGGCCUUCGGGUUGUAAACUGCUGUCAGGUUCUAGGAACAAACCGGUGUUAACAGCGCCGGUACUGACCAAGACCAAAGGAAGCAGCGGCUAACUCUGUGCCAGCAGCCGCGGUAAGACAGAGGUUGCAAACGUUGUUCGGAAUUACUGGGCAUAAAGCGCACGUAGGUGGUCCGCUAAGUCGGAUGUGAAAUUCCCCGGCUCAACCGGGGAACGGUAAUCGAUACUGGCGGGCUUGAGGUCCGGAGGGGUGAGUGGAACUCCUGGUGGAGCGGUGAAAUGCGUAGAUAUCAGGAGGAACACCAGUGGCGAAAGCGGCUCACUGGCCGGAAUCUGACACUGAGGUGCGAAAGCUAGGGUAGCAAACGGGAUCAGAUACCCCGGUAGUCCUAGCCGUAAACGAUGGGCACUUGGCAGGGGGGUAACCUAUGGUCCUCUCUGCCAAAGCAAAUGUGUUAAGUGCCCCGCCUGGGGAGUACGCUCGCAAGGGUA